GGUCAUGGAUGGGCUAAAAUGAGAUCACUCCUGGCCAACGCAUGGAAGGACACCUGGCGUGCAUCAGCUCUCAGCUGUUCUUACCGUCUGUCUCGAUCUCUCAGCAGUAUUCAGCACAAGUCUACAUGGCUGACCCCCAAAACAACCCUGGACACCAAGGCCCAAAUGAGGACACCGAGGCACACACAGCUUCAGUUGCUUGCCUGGAGUCACCCAUGUGAUUUGCAAUACCAGACACACAAAUUGGUAGCACGGGGAAGCAUCUGCCAUAGACGACAGAUUCCACAAACAUGAACAUCGGAAACCAUGCCUUUACUACUUUCCAUUCACACCUCUUCUGAUACUUCUUCAGUGUACUGGACACAUUUCAAGUGCUCAGUAGCCACUUGUGGCUGGGGGUGCAGAAUCACAGAACGUUUCCAUCCUGGAAGAAAGUUCUACUGGGCAGCGCUACACUAGAAGGUAAGCUCUCUGCCGACAGAGACCACGUGGGUCUGGUUUGCUGCUGCAUCCCCAAUGCCUCGGUAAGUACUUAUUGAAUGAAUGAACGGAUGAAUGGAGGAAAGGAGUGAAGGGAUGAGAGGGCGGAUGAAGGAAUGAAUGACCCACGAGUCUUCAGCGCGGCUUUCCCCGGCCCCCUCCCCCGGCCUGCCUCUCCCGAGACCCCACCUUGGCCUCGGGGUCGGUGCGGAAGAGGCCCUCGAGCACGUGCAGGGCGUCCAGGACGCCGUGGUCGCGGCCCUUGCAGUAGGAGAGCAGGCGGCGCACGUCGGCUGGGGCCACGAACUGCUUGGAGAUCUUGUUGGUGGUGCGCACCGGCAGGCAGGCGUUGGCCAGCAGGUGGCCCGGGCGGAAGUAGUAGGCGAACUCCAGCGGGCAGGCCGGGUGUGAGUGGGUCAGCUGGCACUCCGUCACCACGAGGCGGUCCCGCAGCGGGCUCAGCUUGACGAUGAUGAAGGCGGGGCAGCCGGGCUGGGGAGGCCUGUGGGAGGAACCACCACCGCCCUGGUCACAUCACUCUGCUGCCCUCUUCUUCCUUUCCACUCACCAUUUUUUUUUUUUAAACUAAGAAUUGUUUCAGGCAUAGAGAAGAGUAGAGGGCCCUAAGAAUAUGCCAGCUGUGUGACCUGGGGCAAGUCACUUCAAGUCUCUAUGCCUCAGUUUCCUCAUAGGUUACAAGGAAGGUCCUACUCAUCAUACCUUCCUCAUAGGAUUGUCAUGAGCAUGAAAAGAGUUAAUAUAGGUAAAGCACCUACACAGUGUCUGGAAUAUGGCAAGCAGUAAGUGUUCACUAAAAUUCUAUACCUACCACCCUUAGUUCUGUCAAAAGUGAGGGAAUAUUUUAUUGUAUUUACCUUAACUAUUUUUAGAAAUAAAAAAUUUCAGAUAGUCCUGUAUCUGCUUCUGGUUUAGCAAUAACAUCAAAAGUUGAGGCCUUCUGUGAACGCUGCCCUAACAGAUUAUCUUCCUUCCCUCUGUCCCCAGAGGCAGCCACUAUCAAAAUUAUCUAUUAGCAUUCCAUGUAUAUUUUUAUGCACCCAUAAACAAUGGGAGGUAUGUUUCUCUGUUUUAAAAGCAUUGUAUACGUGAAAAAGGACUCAAACUCAUUAGUCAUCAAAGACGUAACAAAUUAAAACCCUAAGGAAAUGCCACUACACAUCAGCAGAAUGGUCAAACAAAAGAGACUGAUAACAUCAAGUGUUGAUGAGGACAUGGAGCAACUGGAACUCUCACCCAUCACUGAUGGGAACGUGAAAUGGCACAAGCACUUUGGAAAACUUCAUGGCAGUAUCUACUAAAGCAAAUUUUAUGUCUCUCCUGUGACCCAGUGGUGCCACUCAAGACAAAUGGGCAUCUAAAGAUGUGUACGAGAAUGUUCAUAGCAGCACUAUGUAUAUUCGCCAAAUGCUUGAAACCUAAAUAUCCAACAAUAGAGUGAGAAAAUAAGUUGUGGUGUAUUCCUAAAAUAAAACACUAAUCAGCACCAA